UACGGAGGAUCCGAGCGUUAUCCGGAUUUAUUGGGUUUAAAGGGUGCGUAGGCGGUUCGAUAAGUUGGAGGUGAAAUGUUAGGGCUUAACCCUGAAACUGCCUCCAAUACUGUUGGGCUAGAGAGUAGUUGCGGUAGGCGGAAUGUAUGGUGUAGCGGUGAAAUGCUUAGAGAUCAUACAGAACACCGAUUGCGAAGGCAGCUUACCAAACUAUAUCUGACGUUGAGGCACGAAAGCGUGGGGAGCAAACAGG
rnacentral:rRNA from 1 species